UGUCUCCCCCUUUUAUCAGUGAAACUGAUCUCCCCGUGAAGAAGCGGGGAUAACUAUAUAAGACGAGAAGACCCCAUGGAGCUUUAAACCCAGCAACACCUAUCUUUAUACACCCUUAUAUUCACGUAACUCUACUUGCUCGGUUUUAGGUUGGGGUGACCGCGGAGCACAACAAAACCUCCACGAAAAAAGGACCAACAAUCCUUAUCCAAGAUGCACAUAUCUAAGAAUUAAUAUAUUAACUUUUAAUGAUCCGUUAUUCGAUCAACGAACCAAGUUACCCUGGGGAUAACAGCGCAAUCUACCUCGAGAGCUCCUAUCGACAGGUAGG
rnacentral:rRNA from 1 species